rnacentral:lncRNA from 10 species
AUGAAUAUGAUAAUUGGACAAGAGACGGUGAGUCUAUGCGACAGCGAUCGAGCGAGCGGGGCGAGUGGGAGAGGGAGAGGGGAGAGAGAGGCGGGCAGGGAGGGGAGACUAGAGAAGAGGAGCAGGGGAGAGGCGAGGAGAGGGAAGAAGAGGAGAAGAAAAGAAGAGGAACGAAGGGAAGAGGAGAGAGCAGGAGAGGAGGAGAGAGAAGAGCGGAGGAGAGGAGAGAGCAGCAGAGGAGGAGAGAGGAGAAGGGUAAAGAAGAGAAGAGGAGCGAAGCGGAGAGGGAGCAGGCGGACCCGGCGAGAGCUCUUUUGCGCCGCUCUGCUUUCCCCGGCUGCAAUGGUGUAUUAUUUCAGAGCGCUCCCUCAGCUGAGGGCUCCGCUCCACAACAAGAUUUACUUUAAGACACAGCUGAAGGAAACAGGAAGACUGCACGUCACAGUCUAUCUGACGUACCCGGCCCCAGCACCCAAUCGCGAGGCGCCUUCGGAUUCAAGGGGGGAUAGCAAGGCAAGAGAACUUGGGAGGAAAAAAAAAUAUAAAAGGGGUGGGGGUGAGGGGCGUGGGAAGAGAGGAGGGGAGAGGGGCCCGUCGAGCUCCCCCCUCCCCCGGCCCUCCCAUCCCCGGCCCCCACCCCCCACCCCCGCCCUGCCACUGCUUCGGGACGACUGGAUCGCCGCGCCUGGGCCGGAGCGAGCCAUCUGCGGGCUCUAUGCAAAGCGGGAGACGGCGCGAGCGGCGUCCAGCUCACACUCGCUCUUCCAGGACGCAGACUCCCCCCACGCGUCUAUCAGGGAAACAACACAGAGGAGCGCAUACACACCACUCACACCUCCAACUAUUGACUGUUGUAUCAAGUGUUCUAACCGGGAUGUGACAGUUUAGUCUGGGAGCAGAAAUAACCAACAUGCCCAUUAGACACAGGACGGAAUAAUGCUUCUAUUGGUUGGGUCCCUUCGAGGUAAGCGGGUGUAUUGAGCGGGGAAAUUUGGGGUCUGAAAAUGGAUCAAAGCUACUUCCUUUCUUAUUUUUCGUCCUACUGGUUUUCUUUAAGAAUCUUGGUUUGUACAUAUAAGCUAGCGCCAGCCCACAAAUAAACUGGUAGGAGUAAGGGCUAUAUACCUUUCCACACCUUAAAACCAUCUGCUCAGUUUGACAUUUAAAAGGGCGGAGAGCAGAGAAGAAGGAGGGGGGAGUAGGGGGAAGAAAGGAGGCAGGGACAGAGAAAAAGAUUCAAACGCAAAAGAAAUGGCUUGUACUUUAGCCCACAAGUUUGUGUCAAUUGCACAUAGCGCUUGAAUGCACGUUUUGCACACACCACGCCCGGGAACUGGCGGCGGGAAAAGUUCCCUGAGAACCCCAGUAAGUCCUGUGUCACGCCGUGGGGAAAGGCAGGCCUGAGUCGAAGUCGGGGUAACCCGCUUGGCGAACAAGGAAGCUUUCCCACCCCCAGCCUCGGCGGCGGAGGCUCCCGGCUAGUGACGCUCUGCCGCGGCGGUUCGCAGCCCGCAUUAGGGCGCAGGAGCGGCGAGUUGAAAUAGGAGCGCGCGCGACUCUAGGCGAGGGAGAUCGGUUCGCAGCCCAGCUCCGUGAGCUGCCUCCGCGCAGCCCUGUCCCCUGUCCUGUCCUCUACUUUCGGGGAGGCGUACAGGCCACACUCCUGACAACCUCUCUUGCUAGAGCUGCGGCACUCUCCUGGGUCUCGGGCUGCCCUGGAGCAAGACUUGAGGCCCGAGCCCCCUAUCUCGGGCAACUCCCGCUUUGUUUUCUGAUAGGGGAGAAGCCUGGAGAUGAGAAGUCGCCUAGAUAUUGGCUCCAUCUCUGAAACCAGCUGCCAAGCCUAGGCUUAAGACAACUCCUCCCUUCGCCCCAUUUCCAACACAACCCCAGUAACUUAAAAGUUAACGCAAGUUCUGACCGGUCUUGUAACAAACCCUAUCCGUGCAGGUUGCAUUUACUUGUUUAUCUGAAGGGUGAUCUGUGUGUUCUUAGACAAACUCGCAGUUAUCACUCGUGCAUCUGGUUCUGUGUUGAAUACACUUCGCCUUGACAUUUCCUCGGUGUAUGCUCACGCCUCCUAUUCUUUCUUAAAGCCGUUAGGUGGGGGCAGGAGGGAAGACAGUGCGUAUAAGUAAUUUAAAACCUUACAAACAGCGGUUAUCAGAUCCUAAACAAACCAAUUCUGGGAAUUUCAACCAGAUUCAGUUGAGAGGCAAACGUGGACGUGGAUUUUGGAGAAGGAUGCCUAAGGACUUCCCGGUCACCCACCCACCCACCACCACCACCAGCACCACCACCACUAUCCGAACUCUGAAGAAGGGAAGAGAGGAAAACCAACCCCAGGGUGCAGGCCUGCCUGCUGCAAGCUUUCCAGAGGCAAAACUGACUGACGGCCUCUCUCUCACUCUCAUCUCCUGUGCCCAGUGUGACGCCAAGCCCAACCUGGAUUUGUUCUGAAUGGGGGGGAAGUGAAAUACCACAAGAUCAGUAGCAAGUAGCAGCUGCAGCGUUUUCUCUCCUGGGAACCCCACUGCUUAGAAGCCUCCCGAGUGAUGUUUGUUUAACCAACAGCUUUCAAAGUAAACAGAAGCCAAUCACUCCAAAGAAGUUGAAAUAUAACCCUUACAAGAAUUUGGUUCCAGGGGUGCUGGCAGAAGGAAAGUAAAUUUUUAAAAUGAGAAAGAACCCACUCCCAAAUAAAGAGUCUGCCACAUUGCUUUAAGGAGUGCAGAAUUGUCAUGAAAAUAUAAAUUCAUCGAAAGGGCUCAUUACAAUAAGUUGGCCUCGAAGAAAAUCACUCUUCGCCCACAAAGACACACCCGCGGGGAUGAGGGGGUUGUCAGUGAUUGAAGGGACACACUACUACUUGAUUUUAUGAAAGUGGGCGAAAACAAUCAAAGGGAAGUACAUUCCCUGCCCUGGAGUAGAAAAGUGUAGGCUGGGAGCUCUUCGCCGCCAACCCUGGCUUUGCCUCAGGCACCGAACUUUCCAAUACCAAGAUAUUAACAGAUGGUGGUGAGCACAUGGAGGGCUGCUACUUACAUAAUCCAGCCACUCGGCCCGGCUGCCCAGAGCCCGGCGAGGAACCCGCCAGGCCGCGCGCGCGCCUUCCGAGGGGUGCUCCCUGACAUAAUUCGCCUUUCUCCAACCCCACCCAGCUUUUGAGGGUUAGCAUUUGGAGUGGCCGUGAUUGGAAAAAACCAAAACCAAAACAAAAACACCCAAAACAUUGAUUUGGCUGUGCUUUGUCUUCUUCAGUCCAUAGUAGUGAAGAAGCUGGAGACCCAAAGGCCGAGAGAAACGGAGGGGAUGCCUUCGGGGAGAAAGGGGUGCUCUCCCCACGUAUCUGGGGGUGCCCACGAGUGGAAUUCACACAAUUUACCCACCAUCUUUGGUUCGAAUCAGCAUAUCUUUUGCUGUCGCUUAAGUACAAAGGCAGCCGCGGGCCGCAGCCCAAGGGGAGUGGGGUGGGGUGAGAGUGUGAGCGUGAAGGGGACGCCUUUGCACGCGGGGGCGCAGUGGGCAAAGUUACGCAAAGCCUCUGGGCACCGCUACACUUCCGAGCUGUGGCAGGGUUUUAAGCGCUCGAUUCCGCUCGCGGGGAGUCCCUUUCGGAUGUGUGGCCGCCUGCUGCCUUCACACCCUAAGCCGCCUCCCAAGAGGCCCUGUCCCUCCUGGUGUGUCUGUGUACCUCCUCCAGUGUGCCAGGGCACGUGUGAUUCCCGAGCCUCCUCCCUGACUGCGACUCUGGGCCGCCGAAACCUGCGAAGAAUACGCCUGCGUGUGUUGGAAAAGUUUCGGGUUGGGCGGGAAGGUUGGGAAUCUCCUCUCCAGGCACUCGGCGGGAGCGGGGCUUCCUCGCCCGCGGCUUCCUCCCUGUGCUUUCCUCCCUUCCCGACCCGCCCUUCCUAGCCUCAGCCCCGCGCUAGGUGUCGCGGCCUCUCCGACCUGAGAGAGCCAGCGCGAGAUGCUGUGGCUGCCGCGGCGCCGCGCUCCGCAGAGGGCGCGCCCCUCCUGCCUGCGCGGCCAAGUGGGGCUCCACGCCGCCCUGCCAGUCCCUCCUCGCCCCGGCCCCGCGGCACUUGCCUCUUCCCGGGCCACCGCAGGGGCUGCAGCCUUGCUCCGCUAGCCUGGGCUCAGUGCACGCCCGGGACGCAGAGGGCAACCACCUGCU